CCUACGGGGGGCUGCAGUGGGGAAUAUUGGACAAUGGGGGCAACCCUGAUCCAGCCAUGCCGCGUGUGUGAAGAAGGCCCUCGGGUUGUAAAGCACUUUCAGUGAGGAAGAACGCCUGGUGGUUAAUACCCAUCAGGAAAGACAUCACUCACAGAAGAAGCACCGGCUAACUCCGUGCCAGCAGCCGCGGUAAUACGGAGGGUGCGAGCGUUAAUCGGAAUUACUGGGCGUAAAGCGCGCGUAGGUGGCUUGAUAAGCCGGUUGUGAAAGCCCCGGGCUCAACCUGGGAACGGCAUCCGGAACUGUCAAGCUAGAGUGCAGGAGAGGAAGGUAGAAUUCCUGGUGUAGCGGUGAAAUGCGUAGAGAUCGGGAGGAAUACCAGUGGCGAAGGCGGCCUUCUGGACUGACACUGACACUGAGGUGCGAAAGCGUGGGUAGCAAACAGGAUUAGAUACCCCAGUAGUC
rnacentral:rRNA from 1 species